CCGACGUGGUCAUCCAGCGAGGUUGCUCUCCUGGCUCUGUCCUGGUGGCGUAUGGGAGCGUAGCUUUCGAGCUGAGACGUACAUUCCCGUUCCACGACGUCGGAGACUAAGCUCCGCCCCCUGGCCGCAGGUCGGUGAGGACGUGGCGUCCUGCAUAUUCCUACAUCUUCCCAGAGUCCUUUGGGGCCGUGACUGGGGGGCUAAACCAUGCAGUGCACAGCA
ensembl:snoRNA SNORA73 Small nucleolar RNA SNORA73 family